GUGCCGGAAGGUUAAGGAAGUUGGUCAGGGGGCAACCUUGAGCUAGCGACCGAAGCCCCCGGUGAACGGCGGCCGUAACUAUAACGGUCCUAAGGUAGCGAAAAUUCCUUUGUCGGGUAAGUUCCGACCUGGCACGAAUGGUGUAACGAGUUGACCGCUGUCUCAACGAGGAGCUCAGCGAAGUUGUAAUGGCGGUGAAGAUGCCGCCUACCCGCAGCAGGACGGAAAGACCCUAUGCACCUUUACUCUAAACUAAUAUAAUAUGAAUAGGAUUUAAAUAAACUUUGUGUAUUUUUGCCCGAUUUCAAUACUAAUAAUUUAUUAAUACUAGCUAUUAUUAGUUUGUGAGUUUGACUGGGGCGGUCGCCUUCUAAAAAGUAACGAAGGUAUUUAAAAGUAAUAUUAUCAAAUAUAUUAAAAUAAAUAUAAAUUACUUGAUUAACGUACAAAUAAGUAUGUUAAGGGUUUUUGCCUGAUAUAUUGACCCGAUCGAUAAAUUAGGUUUUACGAUCGUUUAAUAGAUAAAAGGUACGCUAGGGAUAACAGGCUUAUCGCGCCCGAGAGUUCACAUCGACGGCGCGGUUUGGCACCUCGAUGUCGGCUUAUCACAUCCUGGGGCUGGAGAAGGUCCCAAGGGUCCGGCUGUUCGCCGGUUAAAGUGGUACAUGAGCUGGGUUCAGAACGUCGUGAGACAGUUCGGUCUGUAUCCGUCGUGGGCGCUGGACAAUUGAGGGGUGCGGACUCUAGUACGAGAGGACCGAG
rnacentral:rRNA from 1 species